CCAAUAGCGUAUAUUAAAGUUGUUGCAGUUAAAAAGCUCGUAGUUGAAUUUCGGGGUCAGUAAGUUGGUCGUGCCUCUGGUAUGUACUGGCUUUACUGAUUCCUCCUUCUUGAAGAACUGUAAUGUCAUUAAUUUGGUGUUGCAGGGAAACAGGACUGUUACUUUGAAAAAAUUAGAGUGUUUAAAGCAGGCUAAGGCUUGAAUACAUUAGCAUGGAAUAAUGAAAUAGGACGUUUGAUCCUAUUUUGUUGGUUUCUAGGAUUGACGUAAUGAUUAAUAGGGAUAGUUGGGGGCAUUAGUAUUCAAUUGUCAGAGGUGAAAUUCUUGGAUUUAUUGAAGACUGACUACUGCGAAAGCAUUUGCCAAGGAUGUUUUCAUUAAUCAAGAACGAAAGUUAGGGGAUCGAAGGCGAUCAGAUACCGUCGUAGUCUUAACCAUAAACUAUGCCGACUAGGGAUCGGAUGAUGUUAAUUUUUUAAUGACUCAUUCGGCGCCUUACG
rnacentral:rRNA from 1 species